rnacentral:rRNA from 1 species
AGUGAACGCUGGCGGUAGGCCUAACACAUGCAAGUCGAACGGCAGCACAGUAAGAGCUUGCUCUUACGGGUGGCGAGUGGCGGACGGGUGAGGAAUACAUCGGAAUCUACUUUUUCGUGGGGGAUAACGUAGGGAAACUUACGCUAAUACCGCAUACGACCUACGGGUGAAAGCAGGGGAUCUUCGGACCUUGCGCGAUUGAAUGAGCCGAUGUCGGAUUAGCUAGUUGGCGGGGUAAAGGCCCACCAAGGCGACGAUCCGUAGCUGGUCUGAGAGGAUGAUCAGCCACACUGGAACUGAGACACGGUCCAGACUCCUACGGGAGGCAGCAGUGGGGAAUAUGGGGCAAUGGGGGCAAGCCUGAUCCAGCCAUACCGCGUGGGUGAAGAAGGCCUUCGGGUUGUAAAGCCCUUUUGUUGGGAAAGAAAAGCAGCAGGUUAAUACCCCGCUGUUCUGACGGUACCCAAAGAAUAAGCACCGGCUAACUUCGUG